rnacentral:rRNA from 1 species
GACGAACGCUGGCGGCGUGCUUAACACAUGCAGGUCGAACGAAGAGCGAUGGAAGCUUGCUUCUAUCAAUCUUAGUGGCGAACGGGUGAGUAACGCGUAAUCAACCUGCCCUUCAGAGGGGGACAACAGUUGGAAACGACUGCUAAUAUCGCAUACGAUCUAAUCUCGGCAUCGAGGAUAGAUGAAAGGUGGCCUCUACAUGUAAGCUAUCACUGAAGGAGGGGAUUGCGUCUGAUUAGCUAGUUGGAGGGGUAACGGCCCACCAAGGCGAUGAUCAGUAGCCGGUCUGAGAGGAUGAACGGCCACAUUGGGACUGAGACACGGCCCAGACUCCUACGGGAGGCAGCAGUGGGGAAUCUUCCGCAAUGGACGAAAGUCUGACGGAGCAAUGCCGCGUGAGUGAUGACGGCCUUCGGGUUGUAAAGCUCUGUUAAUCGGGACGAAAGGCCUUCUUGCGAAUAGGGAGAAGGAUUGACGGUACCGGAAUAGAAAGCCACGGCUAACUACGUG